rnacentral:sRNA from 1 species
UAAAUAUAAAUCCAAACCAAAGACCGUAGGGGGAUAUAUAAUCCUUAAAUAACCUACCGAGGUUGGAAAGUUAGAUAUACUAACCUCAAAACUCAACCCCCUGUCUUUGCGAUAGGGGUAUAUUUUUAG